CUUUUGAUGGCCGAGCUUGAGGCGGUAGAUUUUUAAUCUGCUGACGAUUUUAAAUCUCAAAAGU
rnacentral:tRNA from 1 species